GACGAACGCUGGCGGCGUGCCUAAUACAUGCAAGUAGAACGCUGAAGAGAGGAGCUUACUCUUCUUGGAUGAGUUGCGAACGGGUGAGUAACGCGUAGGUAACCUGCCUUGUAGCGGGGGAUAACUAUUGGAAACGAUAGCUAAUACCGCAUAACAAUGGAUGACACAUGUCAUUUAUUUGAAAGGGGCAAUUGCUCCACUACAAGAUGGACCUGCGUUGUAUUAGCUAGUAGGUGAGGUAAUGGCUCACCUAGGCGACGAUACAUAGCCGACCUGAGAGGGUGAUCGGCCACCCUGGGACUGAGACACGGCCCAGACUCCUACGGGAGGCAGCAGUAGGGAAUCUUCGGCAAUGGGGGCAACCCUGACCGAGCAACGCCGCGUGAGUGAAGAAGGUUUUCGGAUCGUAAAGCUCUGUUGUAAGUCAAGAACGGGUGUGAGAGUGGAAAGUUCACACUGUGACGGUAGCUUACCAGAAAGGGACGGCUAACUACGUG
rnacentral:rRNA from 1 species